AUACGUAGGUGGCGAGCGUUGUCCGGAAUUACUGGGCGUAAAGGGCGCGUAGGCGGCCUGUCAAGUCAGAUGUGAAAUCCCCGGGCUUAACCCGGGAACUGCAUUUGAAACUGGCGGGCUUGAGGGCAGGAGAGGAAAGCGGAACUCCCAGUGUAGCGGUGAAAUGCGUAGAUAUUGGGAGGAACACCAGUGGCGAAGGCGGCUUUCUGGACUGUCACUGACGCUGAGGCGCGAAAGCCAGGGGAGCGAACGGGAUUAGAUACCCGGGUAGUCCUGGCCGUAAACGAUGUGGACUUGGUGUUGGGAUGGCUCCGAGCUGCCCAGUGCCGAAGGGAAGCUGUUAAGUCCACCGCCUGGGAGGUACGGUCGCAAGGCUGAA
rnacentral:rRNA from 1 species